rnacentral:rRNA from 1 species
AUGCACGCUGGCGGCGUGCCUAAUACAUGCCAGUCGAGCGAACAGACGAGGAGCUUGCUCCUAUGACGUUAGCGGCGGACGGGUGAGUAACACGUGGAUAACCUACCUAUAAGACUGGGAUAACUUCGGGAAACCGGAGCUAAUACCGGAUAAUAUAUUGAGCCGCAUGGUUCAAUAGUGAAAGACGGUUUUGCUGUCACUUAUAGAUGGAUCCGCGCCGCAUUAGCUAGUUGGUAAGGUAACGGCUUACCAAGGCAACGAUGCGUAGCCGACCUGAGAGGGUGAUCGGCCACACUGGAACUGAGACACGGUCCAGACUCCUACGGGAGGCAGCAGUAGGGAAUCUUCCGCAAUGGGCGAGAGCCUGACGGAGCAACGCCGCGUGAGUGAUGAAGGUCUUCGGAUCGUAAAACUCUGUUAUUAGGGAAGAACAAAUGUGUAAGUAACUAUGCACGUCUUGACGGUACCUAAUCAGAAAGCCACGGCUAACUACGUG